rnacentral:misc_RNA from 1 species
CCGGGGCGCGAGACGCCUAGCAGCCGUAGACGCAAGUCUGCGGCAACAUCCUACCAUGUGAAAAUCCACUUUGCUUCGGCAGCACCUCGCGGGUCAGUCUGCCGGAAGCACCAAACCAGACCAUGUUUUGAAAUCCUGUCUGAACAAACCGUCUAAUGACUGUUA